UGUGUAACACAUAUAAGUAUUUAACUUCCUUACUGUUAAUAGGAUUCUCUAUUAAAAGAUGAAGCUAAACUAGUUCAUACAUGUUUUUACUUAGAUUUGGGACAUAGGAAUUAAUAGGGGCCAUACACUUGACCUUCAUCUGCUAUAUAAAAUAUAGCUUUAUUUUGCAAAAUGCUUUCCACCCUUGAUUAACAUCUUAUUGCCUUGUAGGUAUGGAGCACAAUCAUUGAUUAAUCUAAUAUAUACAAUAGGGAGAACCGUAACUACAGAUUUACAGAUUGUGGAGCUGCAGCAGUUUUUCAGUAACAUGUUGGAGGAACACCAGAGGAUCAGAGUUCAUGCCAACUUACAGACAAUAAAGAAUGAAAAUCUGAAAAACAAGAAGCUAAGUGCCAGGAUGGCUGCAUGGCUAAGGAGAAACACAUAGCUUGUGGCUAUCUUUCAGCACUCCUCUUGCAUAUUAUAAUGUAGUUUGUUCACAGUUUUGUCUUCCAAUACUUUGUGAGUCUGGAAAACCAUACAUUUUAUUUGUAUUUCAG
rnacentral:sRNA from 1 species